rnacentral:ncRNA from 3 species
AUAAUCUCAAAGGGGUGCCCUACCUGACGGGCUGAGAUCAUACCCAUAAACCUGAUCCGGGUAAUGCCGGCGUAGGAAGAGAAAGCUGGAAUAAU